rfam:Drosophila pseudoobscura pseudoobscura strain MV2-25 chromosome XL unlocalized genomic scaffold ChXL_group1e, whole genome shotgun sequence.
CCAUUGCUUCAUCAUUGUAUUUAAAAUGUAUAAUAUAUUCAUUACCUAAAAUUAGUACAGAUUUUACUGGGGGUGUUUAGUCCGUAGGCGUGUUUUUCAACAUGAAUCGGGCAUGCCCUUUAGCGACGGCGUUAAAGAGUAUCUUAAGAAGAUUCACCUAUAUAC